rnacentral:lncRNA from 1 species
UACAUUUCUAGCAUUAGGGUUGGGCAUGCACCUUUUUCAUUCUGUUCUCCAUCUUAGCAAAGCAAAGCAAACACAAGAGGACUACUUGGUUCCUUUUUUUUAAAGGAGGACAAUCUUUAUUUCUCCCUAGAAGCUUCUUUGCCUGUCUUAUCACAUUUCCACCGCAAUCAGUUCCAGCCACUGCAGUUGACAAAACCAAGGGUGAUGAGUGUUCAGGGGAAGAUGAAACUCUCGCACAAUUCACAAGCUUUCCAAUGGUGCACAGGGUUUACUGAUCAGGUUUUGCUUAAGGCAGAAGUUAAUUCUCAAGAUCUCCCUUGGCCCAGCAGUUUGCUGUGCUCUCCUGGAGUCCUCUUCAUUAGCACUGGCUUCUCUUGAGGGCGCUUCCGAGGACGCUGAAAUCUGCUCGCAGGACGUUGGAAGGGGCACGGGUUUGCUGGAAGGGCUGCUGCCCGCCGGCAAACAGGGUGAAAGAGCCGGGCUCCAGGCGCCACUCCCCGGCCCAGACGGCUCUCUGGCGGAAGGAGAGCAGGAAGGGCACCUUGGUCGCCUGGCCUUGGGGUACCAUCACCCGACGGAAGCCGACCAGCUGCCAGCGGGGCACGGGCACGGAGGCCUCUCCCCACCGGAGGUAGAGCUGCACCACCUGCAGGGGGAAAAGAGCUCUUAAAGAGGGAACAAGGAAGAAAACGAGACCCUUCCUUCCUGGAAGGCCCCACGGAUCUCCCCACACCCAGAGAGGGGGAGUGGUCUCGAAAACGCCAGAAGGACACGUCCAUGGGAACCUCAUCUCAAUCCAAUCCAAGGACACCCAAACUACUCCCUGUGGUGCUCCUUGCCUACCCAUCCCCCAUCAUUUAAAUCUUGUUUAUGUUUAUGAUACAGAAAGCAUCAUCCUUCCUCAGCCACCGAGGUCCAGGAGCAGGCCAGCCCUCUCACCUCCUCGCCGUCUCGGGGGCCAACGUUCUCCACCACCACCGAGAGGCUGAGGUUCCCACAAACGGGCACCACCUCGGCUCCCAGCACCAGGUCGCUGUAUCGGAAAAAGGGUGUAGGAGAGCCCGUAGCCAAAGGGGUACAGCGGAGGAUCGUCUCCAUAGUAGCGGUACGUCCGUCCAGCCAUGGUGUAGUUCUCCAUUGGGGGGACCUGUGGGGAUGGAGACCGAGAGACAAAGUUCAGGAGAGAAGGACUGCCCCGCCUAGUGAAUGAAGAUGGGCAUGAUCGGGAUGAGAGUUUCCGCAUUCGAUGGAAAGGAUCCAAGUGUGAUUGCCGUCUUAGAACCGGCACAAGAAGCAACACAAGACUGACUAUCUGUCCUGCAGAGUCAGCGAUGUGACACCUUCCUCACCAUUGUGGCAUCAGGGUAUCACAACAAAGCCACCAUUUGUUCAGGGCUCUCCACCCCUGACUCCCUUCCUCAUCAGCCAACAAUUCAACAAUGGUGGUCUUGGUUGGUGAAGUGAAUGAGUUUUGCUUCCCAAAGCUGAUCGUGAUCCUCAGAGCCACACUGACAUCCAGCGACUUUGCAGGCAACGACGGGCUUUGGAUCACUCCCUUUUCGGAGAAAAUGAAAAUAAUGCCCCUCUCUGUGAGUGCAUGCAAACAGAAAAGUGCAGUUCAUUGCAUUGAGGAAUGCUCUGAAGAAGAUAUUUUCGGCAGAAUAAAGACUAAAACAUUUUAGCA